rnacentral:rRNA from 1 species
UACGUAGGGUGCAAGCGUUAUCCGGAAUUAUUGGGCGUAAAGCGUCCGCAGGCGGCCCUUCAAGUCUGCUGUUAAAACGUGGAGCUUAACUCCAUCAUGGCAGUGGAAACUGUUGGGCUCGAGUGUGGUAGGGGCAGAGGGAAUUCCCGGUGUAGCGGUGAAAUGCGUAGAUAUCGGGAAGAACACCAGUGGCGAAGGCGCUCUGCUGGGCCAUAACUGACGCUCAUGGACGAAAGCCAGGGGAGCGAAAGGG